UACGUAUGGGGCGAGCGUUGUUCGGAGUUAUUGGGCGUAAAGGGCGUGUAGGCGGCCCGAGAAGUCUGGUGUGAAAUCGCAGGGCCUAACCCUGCGGGUGCGCUGGAAACUGUCGGGCUGGAGUCCCGGGGGGGAAGCUGGAAUUCCUGGUGUAGGAGUGAAAUCUGUAGAGAUCAGGAAGAACACCGGUGGCGAAGGCGAGCUUCUAUUCGAGGACUGACGCUGAGGCGCGAAAGCGUGGGGAGCAAACAGG
rnacentral:rRNA from 1 species